rnacentral:tRNA from 1 species
GGUAUUACGCCGGAUGAACGGAAAUCAUUGAUGUUGAUUAUUAUGGAAUAUAUAUGUUUCUAAUACUA